rnacentral:rRNA from 1 species
UACGUAGGGGGCUAGCGUUGUCCGGAAUCAUUGGGCGUAAAGCGCGUGUAGGCGGUCCGGUAAGUCCGCUGUGAAAGUCGGGGGCUCAACCCUCGAAUGCCGGUGGAUACUGUCGGGCUAGAGUUCGGAAGAGGCGAGUGGAAUUCCCGGUGUAGCGGUGAAAUGCGCAGAUAUCGGGAGGAACACCUAUGGCGAAGGCAGCUCGCUGGGACGUUACUGACGCUGAGACGCGAAAGCUAGGGGAGCGAACAGG